rnacentral:rRNA from 1 species
CCAAUAGCGUAUAUUAAAGUUGUUGCAGUUAAAAAGCUCGUAGUUGAACUUCGGGAUUUACCCAUUGGUCAGGCUUAACUGUCUGUACUGGUGAGAUGAAUUCCUACCUUCUGAGGAAUCUUCAUGCCAUUUAGUUGGUGUGAGGGGGAAUCAGGACUGUUACUUUGAAAAAAUUAGAGUGUUUAAAGCAGGCUAACGUCUGAAUACAUUAGCAUGGAAUAACGGAAUAGGACGUUUGAUUCUAUUUUGUUGGUUUCUAGGAUCGACGUAAUGAUUAAUAGGGAUAGUUGGGGGCAUUAGUAUUCAAUUGUCAGAGGUGAAAUUCUUGGAUUUAUUGAAGACUAACUACUGCGAAAGCAUUUGCCAAGGAUGUUUUCAUUAAUCAAGAACGAAAGUUAGGGGAUCGAAGACGAUCAGAUACCGUCGUAGUCUUAACCAUAAACUAUGCCGACUAGGGAUCGGAUGAUGUUAAUUUUUUAAUGACUCAUUCGGCGCCUUACG